GUUGUAAAAUGCCACACAGAAUUUCUGCAUCUGACAAUUAGUAACAUACUGAUUUCAUUAACAUAAUGCACACUUACACAUUUUACCACCUCUCAAAAAAUUAUUGAGGGCUUAAGCAGUGUGUCUUAUUUUAAUUCACAGUGCUCCAUAAAAUAAUAGUACCUCUUACAAUAAACGGCAUCUUAAGGUCCCCUGAAAAUGGACAACUUGUUUCUCAGAAUUACAAGUUCUGGCCCCAAAAGACAGCUAGUCCAGUAGCUAGUCCAGCACCUCAUUUUGCAGUUGAGGAACAUGAAACCCGAAUAAGCGGUGUCUCCGUCAGAAAAUUAAGAACAAGAGCCUGAACUCAGGGCUUGCACGCCCCGUAAUGCCUUUUCCAUUACACAACCUGCCUCCAGAGAUUAAAACAAAAAACUACCUGAGUUCAAUACAACAGCUCAUGCUGGUGACAAAUCCAGGCGGUUAAUAUAUACGUAAAAAGCUUAUUACUCAGGAGCCUUGUGUGCGUCCUCAAUCAAGAGGCUGUCUCAAAAUCAGCAACUCUGUAUUUCGUGUUUGGUAAGCCGCACAAUGAAUUACCGACACUUCAAAAACGAGAGCUUCCCCGUAAGACCGGAAUCUCAUCGGAGGCAUUACAAUGACUCAGGGUAAUCUCACUAGCAUCUUCUUUUCUCUGGAGGGGACAGUUCCCCAGGAGAGUUAGCUUUAGCCCACCUGGAACCUACACACUCAUUUCUCAGCCCCAGAAACUUCGCACAUCUUUGGCAGUCUGACAACUGCACGAUUCACAGGUGGUUGGUUCCACACCUCCCAACACAACCACACCAAAGACCAAGCUUCCAGUCCAUGAACCCUCGGGGCGGAAAACCACAUCCGAAUCACAUCAGUCUGCCUUUUCACCACUUUCCCCCAGAAGGUUAGGUCCGAGCUAUCCACUUGUCCAGGGGUGUAAAAUUAGAGAUCAGCAAUGGCAAGGGAGAGAGACCUACUCUGGCUGAUGUGACUACUAGGCCAUGGAGAGCUCACACAUUCACUGGAAGCUGGAAAAUCAGGCUUGGAGAUGGGCAGGAACAGGCAGCUCUGGAGAGAGGAGAGGAAGGAAGCAGGAACCGCAGAACCGUCCAGACACCACUGCCUGAUGAAUGCACGGCACCCAUUUUCAGUUCAGUUCUCUGGAGAACAUUUGACUGGAGAUGGGAUCAAGUUCAGAUGGAUCACAGAUUUAAGUGUGAAGGCAAACUCAAUAAAGCAUUUAGAGGAAAACAGAGAGCCCCUUUGGACCAGAGAGGGCAGGGUAGGGUAUCAAACUCAAGUAGGACUUGUGGAGAGGAGGAUGCCAGGCCCACACCAGGAACAGGAACCAGAGGCACAGCCUGCACAGAGAGCAGUGCACGCCUGUGGCUUAGCGAUUUGAGAAUCUCAAGGAGAGUAGACACCAGGCCCAUGGCAGUGUGAGUGACUCCAGGUCUCUUCAAGUGUCACCACACACCUUCAGUCUUGGUCAGGAUCAGCUCAGGCUGCUCGAAAAGGACUUCAGGGCUCAGAGCUGGGCAGGAAACAGGCAAGGCUCAUGUGUCUCUCCUUCCCGUAAAGGUGCCCAACUAGCUGGGACAGUGGAGAAGCAAGCAACCCGGGGACCGAGCAGUGGGAGACCCAGGGCUCUCAGGGCAGCUCUCUGAGUCUGCGAAGCGUACAGCCCCGAGAUGCAGAAUCUGAAAAGCAGGGCCUCAUGUGUGAUCUCAACUGAUCCCAAGCCUCUGUCAAACACCAUGUCCCUUUUGUCUCAGUGGGGUCGACUACUCUACAUACCUCAGCGUGGCGGGAGGCUGUUCUCCUUGGUGUUUCUGCACAUUUUGUGGCCGCUUUGUCCAAACCAUCUUCUCAAGACUGUCUGUUUAGCAACCGUCUUUGGAGGUUAGAGAUACUGUCUCCCUCUGGUGAGAGAACUGUUUGGUUUCCUGACCCCUAAAAUGAAGAUAAUGACUUCCUCUGGGGCACGUUGGCAGGCACUUCCCAGCUCAAUUCACAAUAGCUAACACGUGGAAUCAACCCAGAUGUCCAUCAACUGAGACUAGAUAAAGAAAUUAUGGUGUCGCUCCCCGUCUUCGUGGAGGAGCGACACUAAACCCUGCCUAGGCUUCAUAUCCGAGUCACGGCACCAUUAUGUCGCUCCCCCUCUUCGUGGAGGAACGACACAGGACCCUGCCUAGGCUUCAUAUCCGAGUCACGGCACCAUUAUGUCGCUCCCCCUCUUUGUGGAGGAGCAACACAGGACCCUGCGCUGUUCUUUCGUCUGCUCGGCCCUCCCCGGGUUUGCUGCUGGUUCUUCCCGGGUUGGCUACUAUCCCUUCCACCUCCGUGGAAGGGCAGUUCCCCCUGGCCACAUUCCCCACUUCCGCAGGGGAGCGGCACACCGCCGGCCGGCUCUCUCGGGGGCUGCACAGUGUUCCCCUUAGAUGUUCCUCGUAGAUGUUCCUGGUGAAUGCCGUCUCUCUCCUCCUUUAUAGUCCUCCUCCGCCAAUCCCAACUCGGCUGCCCACACGCCGAGUACGCUGCUCUCCAAUCAGGAGCAAGUCCUACAGUUUAUUGGCUGAACUGGAGGCAGCUGUGUAGAAGCCUCUUUCUUCUCUCCCAGCGCCAUAUUGUGGGAGAGCAGAUGCAUAGAAUAAGUCUUAAUUCCAGUAACAGUCUAGUCCGAGUUGCUCCCCACAUAUGGUAUAUAUACGCUAUGGAAUACUACACAGCAGUAAAAAAUGAAAUCUUGUCGUUUGCAACAAAACGAAUGCAACUGGAAACCAUAAUACUCAGGGAAAUAAACUAAUCCCCAGAAUACAAAUGCCAUAUGUUCUCCCUGAUCUGUGGUAACUAAUAGAGCACCUGACAGGUAAGCUACAGGAGUGAAAUUGACACUUUGAGAUGCAAUGAUCUUUUAUAGCCCUUGUGUGGACUGUUGAGGAACAGUGUUUUGUUUGUUUUCAUUAAACUAUUUGCUGAACUCUUGGUGUAGGCUUAAUCUUAUGAGUAUAACGUUAACUGAAAAGAGAUCUUUGUAAUAAAUAAGAAUGGGAAUAGGAGAGGGAGGAAGAGGAAGGGUGGGAGUAUCUCUAUGUUCCUGAAUCUGUGUAUAUGAAAUACAUGAAAUUUGUAUAUCUUAAAAAAAAAAGAUGGCCUGAAGGCUUGGGCUCCUGCCACUCAUGUUGGAGACCCAGAUGGAAUUCCAGGCUCCUUUCUUUGCCUUGGCCUAGCUCCUGCUGUUGUGGCCAUUUGGGGAAGUGAACCAGCAGAUGGAAGAUCUCUCUCUCUUUCUCUCUCUCUCUGUAACUCUUCUUUUCAAAUAAAUAAAUAAUUUUUAAAGAUUUAUUUAUUUAUUUAUUUGACAGGUAGAGUUACAGACAGUGAGGGAGAGAGACAGAGAGAAAGGUCUUCCUUCCAUUGGUUCACCCCUCAAAUGGCCGCCACAGCCAGAACUAUGCCCAUCUGAAGCCAGGAGCCAGGUGCUUCUCCUGGUCUCCCAUGGGGUGCAGGGCCCAAGCACUUGGGGCAUCCUCCACUGCACUCCCAGGCCACAGCAGAGAGCUGGACUGGAAAAGGAGCAACCGGGACUAGAACCUGCUGCCCACAUUGGAUGCCGGCACCACAGGUACAGGUAGAGGAUUAACCUACUAUGCCACAGCGCUGGCCCCAUAAAUAAUUAAAAAAAAAAAGUUUGAAAGAGAUUUUUAAAUCAGUAAACUACCCCUUUUAUAAUGCAUUAUGCUUUGCAAUUUCCUAGUUGGAUGCUUUAAAAAUAAAUACAUAUGUAAUUCCAUCGGCGUGCUCCACUGAUGGGGAAGCAGCAGUUGUGUGAUGGAUCAAUGCCUGGACGCCCUGGGGUGCAGACUCCCAGGCUGUGAGAACCUCCACUAAAGGCUUUGUCUGGAGCUGGAGGGCUGGGGUUGACCUCCUGCCUCGUUUCCCAGCUUCCCUCCUGUUUCCCUCCUUGAUGUGAAAAACCCUGGUUUAGAACUGUUUGCACCAGAUUUCCCCUUCUUCCUUCAUUAGUCACCUUUUAGUCACUGUAUUAAUCCUCGCAUUUCUGGUAAAAGUUAGGUGGGGGCAGGAGCUAAGCCCUUGAUCGUCAGCAGCUGAAAGCCUGCCGUCCAUGUGUAGCUUGCAUCAGGGUCUGCUUGCAGAGGCCCGGGGGGGACAGCCAGGAGACAUCCCACCUUCACCCCGUAGUCUUGGGAUUCCUCUUCUCCUGGAGCUCAGUGUCUCCCGUGUUUUUCCCUCCCUUACCCUCUUUGGCUCCUUCUUCAGUUUGAAGGGUCUAUGUUUUAGCUGCUUCCAUUCCUUUCCUGGAUGGACCCAGGACGGUGAGUCAGGAGGGUGCUGGGAAGAGUGCGCCUGCCUUCAGGGAGUGGCAGCGAGCGAGCGGGGAUCCAAACCUCCGCACUCCCCAGGUCAGCAGAUCUUUAGGUAUUAAGAAGUCCGUCAGCCUCAUUUUGUUGUUCUAAUCUGUUUUUCAUUCCCCCUUAGGAGGAAGGAGGGUAAACAAAACAAAAAACCCUCCUUCCUGCUAGAAAUCAAAUAUCACAGAUGUUAACUGAUGAUUACAACAGAGAAGCCGGCCAAGAACCCCUGGAGGAGGCGUGGCCUGCAGCGAGGGGGCGGGGCGUUCGUUGAGCUGAGCGUUCCAGCAGAUGCUCUGAGGUUGUGAGUGCGUUCCGCAGCUCUGCUCUUGGAGGGCUGGGAGCUAUAAGGCAGUGGGACAGAGAAAGUCUGCAUUUUCUACCUUUACUUUCUUCCUUGUUUAGGAAAAUGGCACCCAGCUCUGCCUGUGUGAAAAGAUGUGGGUGCCUCUUUUAUGGAGUGCUACUUAGGGACCCAAAAUAAGGAACAGCAGUGGACUUGCUGCAUGCAUUUUGCCUUCUCGGCAGCCACUGCUGCCUCCUCUGAUAGCUGUUAUGAUGGGGAGGGUGGGGGGCACCCUCACUCUUGGUCCACACUGGGGUUCAGGAGAGGCUGACCUCCACUCAGCCCAAUGCCCCUGCUCCAAGCUGGGCAUGGUUGCAUGGGAGUGUCCCUGUGCUGAAAAGUCAGCCCCAGGCCUCUGCUGGCACUCUUACGAAAGAGGGGAAUGCUUCCCAAUGCCAGGGCCAACCCUGGGACUUGCUCCCGGCUUGCUGGCCAAAAGCUCACCAAGUGAAGCCGAGUAGAAGAGAUUCGGUUGAGCAAUGAUGGGAGAAGGUUCUCUCUCUCUCUCUCUCUCUCUUUUUUUUUUUUUUUUUUGACAGGCAGAGUGGACAGUGAGAGAGAGAGACAGAGAGAAAGGUCUUCCUUUUGCUGUUGGUUCACCCUCCAAUGCCCGCCGCGGCCGGUGCUCUGCAGCCGGCGCUCUGCGGCCGGUGCACCACGCUGAUCCGAAGGCAGGAGCCAGGUGCUUCUCCUGGUCUCCCAUGGGGUGCAGGGCCCAAGCACUUGGGCCAUCCUCCACUGCACUCCCUCCCUGGCCACAGCAGAGAGCUGGCCUGGAAGAGGGGCAACCAGGACAGAAUCCAGCACCCUGACUGGGACUAGAACCUGGUGUGCUGGCGCCGCAAGGCGGAGGAUUAGCCUAGUGAGCCGCGGCGCCGGCCGGGAGAAGGUUCUUGAGAACUUGUCUGAAGAUCUGCAUCCAGAUGUAGCUGAAACUGAUAUUACCUUGGACGUUUUCAUUCUGGGCCCCAUGAAGUCUUCCCAAUCCUUUUGGUUUUUAAAAAUUAAUUCAUUUAAGAAGGAGGGAGAGAGAGAGAUCACUCGCCUUUGCUGGUUCACUUCCCAAAUGCCCGCAAUGGUCAGAGCUGGGUUGGACUGAAACCAAAGAGAUGGGAACUCAGUCCACGUCUCCCAUGUGGGUGGCAGGAGCCCAGUGCUUGACCCAUCACUGCUGCCUCCCAUCACGUCACUGCAUGCCUCUGCAUUGUGAGCGCAAGUGGACUUGUUGUCCCAGACUCACACAGAUAUCUGCACUCUGCUCUCUUCAUGUCAAUCUGGAGAUUUGAUCUAACUGUGGUGGCUGGGAGCUGGGGCCAGUGGCUGGUCUUUAGGCCACUGGAGGCAUGCUCUGAGAGGGGCUUCUUUCAAGAGGGUUGAUUAUUAUCUGAGUUCAGCUUCAGCCUAGGUUCUCUCUUUCUGGUUCUCCACGUGAUUUUGCCUCUGCACCUGCCACAGCCAGUCUCCACAGAUGCUGGACUAUGGGGCCAUCGAUCCUGAACUGUGAUCUCAGAACUGUAAGGACCAACUCAACCACCUAUGAACCCUUCUGACUCCUCACAGUACCCUGCAUUUUCUCCCUGGUGUCAGCCACAGUUAAGGACCCGCUAUCUCUGUGACUGUCAUGAAUGCCAGGUGCACAAGAAAUGACACUGACCACCUUGGUUUGGUGCAUUUCUCCAGGCCUGCACAAGGCUUGCCCAGAACUGGACUGGAUAACAGAACGGGAGGUGACUAGACUGCAAAAUUUGAAGCAUUAGGAGGCACUCAUUCUCAGCAUGUUGCAAGUUCAAGCUUACUAUUGUGGAAGGUUAAAAUACUAGUCACCCAGGUAUCCCUAGCCCAAGAGGCGCUGAACCAAGAGGAUGGUUGGACGAGAGGAAGGAGUCAGGAGCCAAAGCGUGCUGGCAGCCUCCAGACGUUAGAAAAGGAAGGAAUCAGAUUCUUCCUUACCGUCCCCAGAAAGGAUUGGCCCUGCCAACACCCAGAUUUUGGUUCAGACUGUGGGGCUACAACGAUGCUGCUCAGGCUCGGGUCCUACAUAAGAAGUGUAAACUGCUGUGAAUUCAGAAGAAGCAAGAAACACCAUGGAGGGCAUUGAAAUGUUUCCGUAAAUUUUAAUGAUUGAUGUCUGUGCAUGAACAAAUACAAGAAGGAAACAUUUAAAUAUGGAGGUGACCAAUGCAAAUAAAGAUGUAUGGACCAAACAACAACACAAAAGCAGAAAUAAAAAUAGUUUGUUGUGAGUUCAGUGGGCUCCAAUAAUUGUCUGGGAGCCCAUGGAUUAGCUAGCCUGACUCUGAUGGGAAUGGGAAAUUGAGUCCCACAGGGGUAAAGUGACUUGUCCUCACCCUGCUAUGGCUGAUGUCACUGCUCUCUCCAGAUUCAGCUCUUCUGCAUCCUUUUCAUUCCUCUGUACAGCUUCCAUAUAUCAGUUCUUGGAGAGUCUAAAUAACACGGAAUCUGAGUUGAA